rnacentral:ribozyme from 1 species
CGGUCAUAAAGUAAGGUACCUUUUCGUGGUAUGACUAUUUAAACUAAACCUUA